UUAUUAAAUGACGAUUUUAUAUAUAAAAAAGAAAAGAAAAAACCCAAAAAAAACCCUUGAAAGCACAGAAGGAGCAGACUAAGGGCCGAACCUCAUUAAAACCUUUUCACGGAAAACCCAGUGGGAAAAACCGUGAAAAGGAAAAAGAGUACUCGUCAAAACACAAAACGAUAGAAGGAAAGAGCGGAAGGGAAAGUUUCCGGAACUCCGGCCUAACCAUCGUCCCCAAACUAUCCCGGCUCUCACCCCAAGAAAAAAACUAAACGGUCGGUUAGACGCCGUCGCCGUAAGAAGAACAAACCCAAACAAAGAAAAAGCAGAGCAAAACAUCCGGGUAUAUGCCAUCUCCGUGAGCACUCCACAACCUCCAACCCCAAAUCCAAACGUCUGCCAAGUGAUCGAAGAAAAACCCAAACCAAGAUCUCCCCAAACAGAUGGCGACAGAACCAAGAAAAAGCCGAACCAAACAACAACCCACCAGCCCCAACUACCGUUUCUGACGCAGAUGGCUAUGCGAAGCCAUGUCAAGGCGAACCGCAGCCCUAAUCUCCUCAAUCUCGUGCGGCCACCACCCUUCCGAACGUUGUUGGUUAGCCAUUAAAUCUGCCGC
rnacentral:lncRNA from 1 species